GAUGAACGCUAGCGGCAGGCCUAACACAUGCAAGUCGAGGGGGAAGUUACUUUCGGGUGACUGAGACCGGCGUACGGGUGCGUAACGCGUAUACAAUCUGCCUUUCACUGGGGGAUAGCCCGAAGAAAUUUGGAUUAAUACCCCAUAGUAUAUAGGGACGGCAUCGUUUUUAUAUUAAAGCUUAGGUGGUGAAAGAUGAGUAUGCGUUCUAUUAGCUAGUUGGAGAGGUAACGGCUCCCCAAGGCGAUGAUAGAUAGGGGUUCUGAGAGGGAUGUCCCCCAAACUGGUACUGAGAUACGGACCAGACUCCUACGGGAGGCAGCAGUGAGGAAUAUUGGACAAUGGUCGGAAGACUGAUCCAGCCAUGCCGCGUGCAGGAUGAAGGUCUUAUGGAUUGUAAACUGCUUUUGUAAGGGAAGAAUAAGGGCUACGCGUAGUUUGAUGACGGUACCUUACGAAUAAGCAUCGGCUAACUCCGUG
rnacentral:rRNA from 1 species